rnacentral:rRNA from 1 species
UUCAACGAGGAAUUCCUAGUAAGCGCAAGUCAUCAGCUUGCGCUGAUUACGUCCCUGCCCUUUGUACACACCGCCCGUCGCUACUACCGAUUGAAUGGCUCAGUGAGGCUUUCGGACUGGCCUAGGAAGAGUGGCAACACUCAUCUAGGGCCGGAAAGUUGUCCAAACUUGGUCAUUUAGAGGAAGUAAAAGUCGUAACAAGGUUUCCGUAGAAUAAGUCUCGGAGUAUAUGAUCCUUCCACAGUGAAGCUUAUAGAAGCCUUUGCAGCCUGGCAACAGAUAGCCUUGCGACUCUAAAUAAUAAGGCCUUAUGCAAGUCAGAGUAUCCUUCUGGCAACACAACCGAAUUGACGGGGACACCUUAAAGCCCGCUCCACCAACCGACCCGGGAAAUCGGGUUAGGGCUCAUGUUAACAGCAUGGGGUAUGGUAAGAGAGAGUCGGGAUGUUACAAUAGGCAAUCCGCAGCGAAGAUCCUAAGUGCAGCGCAUACGGAUAACGUUCACAGACUAAGUGGUUGUGGGCACGGUAGAGACCGUGCUUUAGAUAUAGUCGGGCCCCUAGGGAAACCUAGGGAGUAAUAUCACUACAUAUCCGUUCCGUAGGUGAACCUGCGGAAGGAUCAUUACAGAGUUCAUGCCCUCACGGGUAGAUCUCCCACCCUUGAAUACUAUACCUUUGUUGCUUAGGCGGGCCGCUUCGGCUACUGGCUCCAGCUAGUGAGUGCCCGCCAAAGGAUCCUAAAACUCUGAAUAUUUGUGUCGUCUGAGUACUAUGUAAUAGUUAAAACUUUCAACAACGGAUCUCUUGGUUCUGGCAUCGAUGAAGAACGCAGCGAAAUGCGAUAAGUAAUGUGAAUUGCAGAAUUUAGUGAAUCAUCGAAUCUUUGAACGCACAUUGCGCCCCUUGGUAUUCCGAGGGGCAUGCCCGUUCGAGCGUCAUUAUAACCCUUCAAGCCUAGCUUGGUGUUGGGGCCUGCUGUUGCCGGCAGCCCUUAAAAUCAGUGGCGGUGCCAUCUGGCUCUAAGCGUAGUAAUACCUCUCGCUACAGGGUCCUGGUGGAUGCUUGCUAUCAACCCCUAAAUUUCUAUGGUGACCUCGAUCG